GGGUGGUAUCGCUGUACUCGGGAGAUGUUGCUGAACAUAUAUUGGGGUGUUUUAAAAUUCUAGCAUUUGAAAUACCCUGGGGUGUCUAGUUUUCAAAAAUAUAUGAUUUGAUGGGGUAAAUUGCAUUGGCCGGCUUCAAAGAUACCUGAAAUGGCACAUGGGGGGAAGAAUUACCAG